rnacentral:rRNA from 1 species
GACGAACCGUGCGAACGUUGUUCGGAAUCACUGGGCUUAAAGGGCGCGUAGGCGGGCUCACAAGUCAGGGGUGAAAUCCCACGGCCUACACGUGGAAGUGCCUUUGAUACUGUGGGGCUUGAGGGAGGUAGGGGCGUGCGGAACUUCCGGUGGAGCGGUGAAAUGCGUAGAUAUCGGAAGGAACACCGGUGGCGAAAGCGGCGCGCUGGACCUCUACUGACGCUGAGGCGCGAAAGCCAGGGGAGCAAACGGG